rnacentral:rRNA from 1 species
AUUGAACGCUGGCGGCAGGCCUAACACAUGCAAGUCGAGCGAGCGGCGGACGGGUGAGUAAUGUAUGGGGACUGCCCGAUAGAGGGGGAUAACUACUGGAAACGGUGGCUAAUACCGCAUACUAUCGGAUAACCCAUAUGGGAUUAGCUAGUAGGUGGGGUAAAGGCUCACCUGGGCGACGAUCUCUCGCUGUUCUGAGAGGAUGAACGGCCACACUGGGACUGAGACACGGCCCAAACUCCUACGGAGGCAGCAGGGGGGAAUAUUGCACAAUGGGCGCAAGCCUGAUGCAGCCAUGCCGCGUGGAUGAGGAAGGCCUUAGGUUUUUAAAGUCCUUUCAGCGGGGAGGCGUUACCCGCAGAAGAAGCACCGGCUAACUCCGUGCCAGCCGCCGCGGUAAUUC